UUGCUGAUUGGCUGGAACAGUGUUUUGUGACUCGUGCACUCCUUUCUGUUUGUUUUCCAUUUACACAGCCAGAGCUGUGUAUUAACACCGGAUUUUUUUUCCAGCGCACACACAAAAUAGAGAGCUAGGUGACUGUAUUCACCGAAUUUGACAAAAACGUGUAUUGGAUUAACAUCACUUACUAUACCUUUAAUAAAAUUUCCACAAAGU